rnacentral:misc_RNA from 1 species
GAUGAAGAACGCAGCGAAAUGCGAUAAGUAAUGUGAAUUGCAGAACUCAGUGAAUCAUCGAAUCUUUGAACGCACAUUGCGCCCCCUGGCCUUCCGGGGGGCAUGCCUGUUCGAGCGUCAUUACAACCCUCAAGCUCUGCUUGGUCUUGGGCGUCACCGGUCCCCGGUGUGCCUUAAAAUCAGUGGCGGCGCCAUCUGGCUCUAAGCGUAGUACAUACUCUCGCUACAGACGUCCGGUGGAUGCUGGCCAGCAACCCCCAAUUUAUCAAGGUUGACCUCGGAUCAGGUAGGGAUACCCGCUGAACUUAAGCAUAUCAAUAAGCGGAGGA